rnacentral:rRNA from 1 species
UAGUCUGGUGCCAGCAGCCGCGGUAAUUCCAGCUCCAAUAGCGUAUAUUAAAGUUGUUGCAGUUAAAACGCUCGUAGUCGGAUUUCGGGGCAGGUUUGCCGGUCUGCCGAUGGGUAUGCACUGGUAGAACUGUCCUUCCUUCCGGAGACGGCGCCUACUCUUAACUGGGCGGGUGUCGGAGACGGAUCGUUUACUUUGAAAAAAUCAGAGUGUUUCAAGCAGGCAGCUCGCUUUUGCAUGGAUUAGCAUGGGAUAAUGAAAUAGGACUUUGGUGCUAUUUUGUUGGUUUCGAACACCGAAGUAAUGAUUAACAGGGACAGUCAGGGGCACUCGUAUUCCGCCGAGAGAGGUGAAAUUCUUAGACCAGCGGAAGACGAACCACUGCGAAAGCAUUUGCCAGGGAUGUUUUCACUGAUCAAGAACGAAAGUUAGGGGAUCGAAGACGAUCAGAUACCGUCGUAGUCUUAACCAUAAACCAUGCCGACUAGGGAUUGGAGGAUGUUCCUAUGUGACUCCUUCAGCACCUUUCGGGAAACUAAAGUCUUUGGGUUCCGGGGGGAGUAUGGUCGCAAGGCUGAAACUUAAAGGAAUUGACGGAAGGGCACCACCAGGAGUGGAGCCUGCGGCUUAAUUUGACUCAACACGGGGAAACUUACCAGGUCCAGACAUUGUGAGGAUUGACAGAUUGAGAGCUCUUUCUUGAUUCGAUGGGUGGUGGUGCAUGGCCGUUCUU